UUUUAUUUGUAAUAUCCCCAAAUGCAAGCAAUCCAAAUGCUGAACAGGUAAACAGACAAGCAGAGUGUAGAAUAUAGAAUAUACAAUGGAAUAAACAAUUAUGAACUAGGUAUACCUGCAACGAUAUAAAUGAAUCUCAGAAUAACUAUUGAGUAGGGGAAGCCAGACUGAAGGAAAGAACGGAUGUUCCUUUUUAUGGCCGCUUAGCAUUCCAUGGUGUAUAGGUACCACAUUUUCUUCAUCCAAUCCACUGCUGAUGGGCAUCUAGGUUGAUUCCAUGUCUUUGCUAUUGUAAACAACGCUUUGAUGAACAUAUGGGUGCACGUGCCUUUUUGAUAAAAUGACUUACUUGCCUUUGGGUAUAUACCUAGUAAUGGAUUGCUGGGUCGAAUAGCAGUUCUAAGUGCUUUCAGAAAUCUCCAAACUGCCUUCCACAGUGGCUGAACUAGUUUUUAUUCCCAGCAAGUGUAUAAGGGUUCCCUCUUCCCCGCAGCCUCACAAGCAUUGGUUGUUUAUUGACUUUUUCAUAAUCGCCAUUCUGACCGGUGUGAGACGUUAUCUCAUUGUGGUCAUGUCCUUCGCAGCAACAUGGAUGGCAGCCAUUGUCCUAAGGAAUUAACCCAAGAAUGGGAAACCAAAUAACGCAUGUUCUCACUUAUAAGUGGGACCUAAACAUUGAAUACACAUAGACAUAAAGAUGGGAGCAGCAGACACUGGGGACGACUAGGGAGGGAGGGAGGCAGGGAGGGAGUGGAACAGAACGUGGGCUGAAAAACUACUACUCACUACCUGGGUGACUGGAUCAUCUGUACCCCAACCUUCAGCACCCUGCAAUAUACUCAUGAAACAAACCUGCACAUGUACCCUUUAAUCUAAAAUAAAAGUUGAAAUUGUUUUUUUAAAAAAGAGCACAUAGUAUAUUAUUCCAUUUACAUAAAAUUUUAGAAAACACAAAUGAAUGUGUUGACAAAUCAGUGGUUGCCUGGAGAAGGGGGAGUGCAGAGAGGUACAUGGGGAAUAAAUUAUAAAGGGACUGGAGGAGAUGUUUGGAGGUGGUGAAUGUGUUCACUAUGUUGAUUGCGGUGAUGAUUUCAUGGACGUACACAUCUGUAGAAACGUUGGUGUGUACAUAUGUUGUAUUCUCAAAUUGUCCACUCUGAGUACGAGCAGUGGGGAUUAAGAGGAAAAUAAUAGUAGAGAACAAAAUCAGAGCUUGGCAUGGCUCUCUGCUGGCACCGUGCAGGGUGUGAUUACAUCAGAUCUGUGCAACUCAGAUCUUGGGGAGGGGUUGGGGGGUGGAAGGUGGAGGGAGGAAGGGAGAGAAAACAGAGGGCGGGAAGAAGGGAAGGAAGUGAAGAAGGGAAUGAGGGACGGAAAGAGAGAGACAGCGAAGAGAGGAGAAAGCUCUUAGCAUAUGAAACUGCAGCUAGGACUAAAACCAGAGGAAGGCACACAGAAUCUUGACUGCUCUUCAGAAAUACAUGGCACUCCGUUAAAAUGAAGAUUUUUGCUGCUCACUCCAGAAAUAUUGAAUCAAAACGUGGAGCAGGAGACAGGCAAGGCCAGUGAAGGAGUGUGGCUCCGAUAGGAUUGACAACUACUACCUUAGAUGAUGAAUCAAGCUCAGAAGGGAUCCCUCUGGAUUUCCCUGCGGUGAAGAAACCGAGGCAAUGAACAAAGUAAUAUACCCAAGAUCACAUUGCCAGUGAAUGGGAGAGCUGACGUUUCAAUCUACACAGAACCUGUGCUCUUAGCUAUCUAACCGCUUUACUUGGAAGUGAUGUGAGAUUAAAAAAAGAAGAAAAACAAAAUAUUUUCUUAUGCUUUCAAAAAGUUCAAAAGUAAGUUACAAGAUUUAUGCUGCAUUUUAAUCUAUGAUCUUGAUUACUCAUCAAUUGGAUUAUGUACCCACUUUUUUUUUUUUUUUUUUUUUGAGAUGGAGUCUCACUCUGUCUCCCAGGCUGGAGUGGAGUGCAGUGGUGUGAUCUUGGCUCACUGCAACCUCCACCUCUCUGGUUCAAGCAAUUCUCCCACCUCAGCCUCCCAAGUGGCUGGGGUUACAGGCCCACACCACCACGCCCAGCUAAUUUUUGUAUUUUUAGUAGAGACAGGGUUUUGCCAUGUUGGUUAGGCUGGUUUCAAUCUCCUGACCUCAGGUGAUCCUCCCACCUCAGCCUCCCAAAGUGCUAGGAUUCCAGUCAUAAGCCACUGUGCCCGGCCUGUAUUCACUAUUUAUUUUUAUUUUUUGAAAUUUUUGUGGGUACCCAGUAGGUGUAUACAUAUAUAUAUUUUAACUCUUGAAAAUUUUUGAAUAUUCACUAUUUUAUAACUCCAUACAAGUAUUUUAAACUAAUUUUCUGGUUUUUCUAGUUAUUAAUUUUUUUACCUUAACUCAAAUAAAGAAUAAUUUAAAAGGUGAAGUGUUACAAGUUAAGAGACUCAAGUUCUAGUCUUGGCUUUGCCAUGAAAUUACUGUGUGAAUUUGGUCUAGGCUUUGGUUUCCUCAUGUUUGUUAGCAUGUUCCUCUCUUUAGCUAAAACAGUUCAGUGUAUGUAAAGUGUCAUUCUAUGAACUGAAGAGAUCCUGCCUGUUGAGUUGCAGAUGGCUGGGCAGGUUGCCAAGGGGCUGGUUUCUCCAUGCUGGCUUUUGUGUCUGCAUGCUACAGUUCCCCCCGCACGUCUUGACUACUCACCAGCACAAGAUAUCACACAGACAUGCUUGAGCUGGCCAGGAUCCAGGAUGAUAUUUAGAAAGAAGAGAAUAAAAGCUUAAGGAUGAUCAAGUCCUCUUAAGUAAUAUUAAACAAAAGCAUACUAUUUUCCUUCUAAUUUCCUCUCAAGGCACUUCUCAUGUUAGCAAAGAAAAUGACAAGAUGAGUGUCAGCCUGUCAUAUUUUCUGAUGUAAUGUAUGGGCUAGUAGCUCAUCACAAAAUCAACCAUUUUAUAGGAACUAGAUAAGUUUCAGUGCCAAGCCUUGUUCUCAAGCAGCAGGAUGCCUGCUAAGCAGGGUCCAUAUAAGCUAGAGUUUUGAAAUUAUAGUGAUAUUUUUAUUUUAAGGCAUUCAAGAGCAAAAGCAAAUAGUGGAAGGUUCUCAUUCAUCAAAUGCAAUGACCUUAUUGUUUAGAAAAAAUAAGAUGUGACUAUUACCAAAAAUGCUAUUUUAAAAGUAUAAUCACCUUCUUUUCAGUCUGCCAUGAAAAUUCAUGGAGACCAAAAAUGAUUAAUACAUUAUUUUGUAACUUGCUACCCAAAACAGGGUGGUUUGUUUUCCAAAUUUUGUAUUCUUUGCAUAUUUAAAGUUACUUACUGAGAGUUUUCCAUGUGUAAGGAAUUGAAGGAACAAACUCACAAUCUCUGUUACAAGAUUUAAAAGAAAUUUUUGGAGGCACAUGAACAUCUGCAAUUUCAUUUGUAAAGUAUCCAAGAAUCUGUCGCCUUAGUAACAAUCAAAUGCAUUAAAUGCUAAACGCUGAUUAAAUAGAGUUGAAAAUGGAUUUGUUAGUUAUCCCUCUAAGAAUUUUAACUCCAGCCGCUAGCCCUCUCCUCCCCUUUGCAAUGCAACUAUGCCUUCAAAUAGUGUUCUUUAAAAGGAGGCUUUACGGCUUUGGAGGAAUAAGCUGAUUUCACAGCCAGUUUUGCCACUGCUGUGGAAAACAGAGUACACAUGCAAGACUGCUGAAGUCAUACAAACUGCAAGGAUUAUGGCUGUGGGGGCCUCCACAACUCCUGUCAAACUGCAAUUGGAAACAGCUUCUCCAAAGGACAACAUGAGAAAUCAGGAAUUCUUGUCCAUGGCUCCCCAACCUGCUGGGUUUCUAAUCAGGCCUGGCAUGACCCAUUAGAGAUCAGACAUAGGAAAAUCACAAUGAAACUAGGGUAUCUUCUGUUUUCCAAGCUUCACUCCCCCAGAUCCUUUUCAAGCCUGUAAUUAUUGUCUCUCACCAGUUAAUAAGGGAACCGUUUCUCCAUGGGGACAGGAGCUUCUGGAAGGCUGGACCCAAUCAUUACAGGCUCAGUCCAGGGCCUUUCCUUCACACCAACUACUGCAGCCACUCCCAGAGCCCCUGGAACUCCGGCCCAAGGCUCUCUGACUGACUCCUUCCCAGAUCUUCUCGGCUUAGCAGCUGAAGACUGACACUGCCCGAUCACCUCGGAAGCCCCCUAGACCAUCACGGACGCCGAGCUGCCAGUAACUCUCACAGUGGAAGGUAAGCCCAUCCCCUUCUUAAUCAAUACGGAGGCUACCCACUCCACAUUACCUUCUUUACAAAGGCCUGUUUCCCUUGCCUCCAUAACUGUUGUGGGUAUUGACGGCCAGGCUUCUAAAUCUCUUAAAACUCCCCAACUCUGGUGCCAACUUAGACAAUACUCUUUUAAGCACUCCUUUUUAGUUAUCCCCACCUGCCCAGUUCCCUUAUUAGGCCGAGACACUUUAACUAAAUUAUCUGCUUCCCUGACUAUUCCUGGGCUACAGCCACACCUCAUUACUGCCCUUCUUCCCAAUCCAAAGCCUCCUUUGCGUCCUCCUCUUGUAUCCCCCUACCUUAACCCACAAGUAUAAGAUACCUCUACUCCCUCCUUGGUGACCGAUCAUGCACCCCUUACCAUCUCAUUGAAACCUAAUCACCCUUACCCCGCUCAACGCCAAUAUCCCAUCCCACAGCAUGCUUUGAAAAGACUAAAGCCUGUUAUCACUCUCCUGCUACAGCAUGGCCUUUUAAAGCCUAUAAACUCUCCUUACAAUUCCCCCAUUUCACUUGUCCUAAAACCAGACAAGCCUUACAAGUUAGUUCAGGAUCUAUGCCUUAUCAACCACAUUGUUUUGCCUAUCCACCCCAUGGUGUCAAACCCAUAUACUCUCCUAUCCUCAAUACCUCACUCCAUAAUCCAUUAUUGUGUUCUGGAUCUCAAACAUGCUUUCUUUACUAUUCCUUUGCACCCUUCAUCCCAGCCUCUUUUCACUUUCACUUGGACUGACCCUGACACCCAUCAGGCUCAGCAAAUUACCUGGGCUGUACUGCCCCAAAGCUUCACAGACAGCCCCCA
rnacentral:lncRNA from 1 species